GAUUCUUGCAAUUAUUCAAAUUGGAGAUUUGUAUUUUUUGUUGGUGGUGGUCCCCAUGGCCUCUCUGGUGGAGGAAGGACAGAGAAAGCCAUCCCAGAGGGGAACAGAAUCAAUCCAAGCUGCUCAUUAAAAGGGGAAACAUCUCAGCUGUGUUCAUCUCUACACGCUCAUGUCAUGACAACCAGGCUCCCAUCAUGCUGCUUGGGUAACUCCAGGUAACUUCUAGGUUGUAGUCCUCUGGUCAGAGACAUGCUUUUAUUUUGUUUUUGUUGCUCCUGUUUGUUUGUUCCAAAUCAAAUUGGACCUUAUAGAAAGAGAGUGGGUGGAUGUCUAGAUGUUAGGGUUGGAAGGAUUCCAAGCUUAAAGUGUCUUGUCCAUUCUAAAUUAGAUCACAUCAUGUCCUGAGCUGAGACCCUGCCUCACCCUCUACUGCUACUGCUUCUGGGAAAAUUGUCCAGCUUAUGGUAGUGGCACAUAAACUCCUUUUGGUUUGAUCUGCCUCAUCUUUCCACUGUGCCACCCAUGUAUAUGUGCCACUUAUCUCUUGUAAAAUUACCUACUUUCACCAUUACCAGCUCAGCUUCCUCUACCUGUACCCCAUCUUCAUCUUCAGGAUAACUACCUCUGCCCUCCACCAUUGUCUCUGUCUCUCCUCUACUCUCACUACCACUGUUACCAUUCACCUCGCUGCUAGUAUUUACUCCACCAUCACAAUCACCAAUAAUAGAUAUUGUUUAUUCUAUAAUGACACAUAUUAAGCUGUUAUACAUUUUGUUGCAUUAAAUAUUGAAGCAUCAAUAAUACCUGGAUUUGGACCAAGCCACUGAGACUGCAGAAUCCAGACUCUGUGCCUUAAAAGAGUGAGCAUCCCGGGUUGCAGCAUCGUGUGUCACUUGCCUCAAGCUACUUUCUGUGUUCUGCAUCUAGUAUUUGUUUGGUUCUGGUCUAUUUUCUCUAUUUGUCUAUUUUGUCUUCAUGGAGAAAUGCCCAUUUCCCCUAUCAAAUCCUUAUACUCUUUCAACUCCUUCAGAGAGACCUAUGUUCCUGGAAUUUGUAUAUUAUCUUCCAUCUAGCAACACAUCACGUGAUAACUAAUUAUUUAUAUGCAUUGGAGUCAGUCUCAGUUAACACUGAGUAUGAAACUUAGCAAGCCCUACCCAAAGGCUGCUGUUUGGGCUGGGAAACUGGUUGAAGGGUUUCAGUAUGUGUCUCGUGGGGUUCACAGAAAGAUUAAAUAUCAAGUGUGGGGAAAGAUUCAUAGUAUUUGACAUAUCCUUGCUAAUUAUUAGAGAUAAUACCAUUAGAUUAAGUUUUAAUUAAAUAAUGAAUUUAUCAGCAAUUCAUGUUAACUAUAUCUAGUUUAAUUGAUGUUGAUAAGAAAAAAACAAAUACAGUUUGUAUUUGCAAUUAAAGUACUUUUUAAAAAUAAGCAAACAGGGGCUGGAGAGAUGGCUCAGUGGUUAAGAGCACUGCCUGCUUUUCCAGAGGUCCUGAGUUCAAUUUCCAGCAACAACAUGGUGGCUCACAACCAUUUUUAAUAGGAUCUGAUAUCCUCUUCUGGUAUGUCUGAAGACAGCAUACAGUGUACUCAUAUACAAAAAAAUAAAUAAAUCUUAAAAAAAUUAAGCAAACCAUUUUGAGAAUUAUGAAUGUCUACUGAGUGGUAGAGUUUAUUAUUGACCUUUUACAAUGCAAUCUGGGAGCAUAUAAUGAGAAACUGGGAAUAUUUAAGUAACUUUAUUAACUAAUAAUCACAUUCAGAAUCCAUUCAAAAGAAAUGAUCAGAAAUGCAUGCAAGAAGUUGAUCUGUUUUUUAAGAAAUAUGUAGAAUGUCUAAUAGAACAUUAGAUUCCAUAUUUUUGACUAUGAAUUAUAAGGCAAAAUGUAGAAAAUUCUAAAUAUGAGUCAAGAGAGCCUACAUUUUAUGGGAUAUUCAGCAAUUACAAAAUUAUAUCUGUCAGAGAAUAUCCAGUGAUCUCAACUAAUAGUUUUUGAAAGUCAGUGUACUGAAUAGUUCAAUAUUUAGUUUAUUUAUAAUAUAGUUUAACACUGAUAUUUCAUAACAUUUCUACUGAAGAUAAUGCCACAGAAAAUCUGUACUGGAUAUUUUGGAUUUAAGAAUUAUAGGUAGUUUAAAUUUUCAUUGAGUUUAAAAUAUGGUCUCAAAUUUAAAUGACUAUUUAUCACCUAGGAAGCUGAACCAAAUAACUGGAGAUGAAAAGAUCUGAAAGGGGCAAACUGUAUCUUUCCUAAGGGUAGGAAGCAGAAACCCCUUUCAUGUGUCCUACAGAGCUCAUAGAGGAAGACACAGCCUGAGUCCGUGCUUGGCUCUGCCACUCUGCCUUUUAUUUCCUAUCCCUGUGUCUCAGAUCCUUUAACUGAACAAUAAGACAAGUUGGCACUUUGCAAAUAUGAACUCUCCCUUUCUUAUGUUCCACUUAACCACAGUUCCAGGAUCCUCUGGGGCAGCAGGGUUGUCCCUGUGGCAAUUAUCAUAAAUUCAAACCAAGCAUGAGGAGCCUUAGGUCAGUGAAUAGAGGGGGGAGGGGGAGUCUUCAACCUAAGUGCAUGGCUUAGCCCUCCAAGAUGUUAAGAUGGAAAUGAAACCCAGAAUUUCACUAAGUGACUUUGAUGGUUCUUAGCCACGAUGCCAGUGGAAGAGUUCAGGGACCAUGCCACCAUUCCCAGUGACUUGAAAUGGCCCCAACUUGUCUACCUAUCUCAGAUUUUCCAUCCUUUUUGAAGGAGAUAUGGAAUGGCUGCAUUUAUAAUUAGUAUGUUUUGUCAUUUAAAGUUCACCAGAUUUGUAGUCAGUUAUUGGCUAAAAACAUUUAUUAUUUGCAAUAUAUUAUUAGUUUAUUAUGGCUCAUUGCUUUAAAAUACUUCGUUUAAUCCUUUGCAGGUCCUUAAACACAAAUAUGGCAGCUAUUAGCAACCUCUUCAGUCAGGCAUAAAAUUGUACCCAGAGGCCUCAUAAACAAUAGAGUGCUUUGCAAAGAUUAAAUCAGUGUACACAGCUGUGAAGGAGGCCAUUAGGAAAUGCAUUAUCAUUCUGCUUUACUGUUACUUUGUGUGCUACCCUGCUCCUGCCAAUCCAUCAGAUAGCCCCGCCUCCACCCCAUGAGUGGAAGAGCCUCAGCAUCAUUUCAGGCAAGAGACGGGCCCUGGGAAAUGUGGGAUCUAUGCUCUGUAUGCAGGGCCAAGGGGACCUGGAUGAUGGUGGUCAAGACCCAGCCUGGACAAAUACAGAGACCUAGAAAUUACGUCUUCAGUAAGAAACAGGGAGGGAAGAAGUCUUUCUCAGACUUCCUGGAUUAUGUUAAUUCAAACAAAGUAAUUACUAUCUUGCUUGCUUCUGAGUUUUUAUUCAAUUUCUAGAUUGAAUACCAGUCUCUAGAAGGAGAAAAAACGAAAGCUAUCAUUUAUAAAGUGCCUGGCGUGCUGUAGAAUUUCUCAGAUCUGGAUUUAUUUAUUUGAUAGAAUACAUUUUGCAGACAGUGCUUAAAGCCACAUGGAAGAGUUCAAAGGGGCUCAGUGUCUGGAAGUGAGGGAUCAUUAAGGCACAUCUAAUACUAUGCAAGAGUGCAAAGCUUCAUAUAGGAAGGACAUCUGAGCCAAGUUUGAGAUGAUAAAGAAAAAGGAGACGCAGCAAGAGUUGUGUGGAAUUUGGGAAGAGUAUAGAGCAGUACAGACCGGCUGUGAGACUGGCAUGUACAACAUCAUGGAAGCAAGAAGCAAGAGGGCAUGUUCAUUUGUUAAGUUCAGAAACCUUGUAACAUACAUGCAUUAAUUUAUAGGGAAAUGGCCCCUCCUGCCAGUCUUCCUGUAUUGAUUGUGUGUGCUAUGCCUUGUCUUGUAAAGACAACCAGCACCAUGGUUUUUAGAUUCCUAUCCCAUGAGGCUGAAUUCUGUUUUAUAUCUUAUCAGGUGAUCUCAGAUAAGUCUAAUCUCUGAGUCCCACUUUCCUAUUUGCAAAAUUGACCAUAGAGUUAACAAGAUAUAUAAAAAAGUAUGAUAUGCAUUUACUGUCAUGUAGCAGAACCUCAAACACCAUAUUUCCCUCCUCCUGAUUUUGGGCAUCAGCAAAAAAAUUUGUCCCUCCUGGAAGCUUCCUGGAAUUCACCAAUUUAGGAAUCAACUGCAGGCAAGGUUCUAGCCUAUUAAAAUUGUCCAGAAAAUCUACAAGCUGGAGGCUUUGAAAAAAAAAAAAAGGCCAACUAACCUGAAAUAACCUGGCUUUGUACCAUGUAUACCUAAACACAUCACUAAGUACCACCAGGCUCUUCUCCACCAAUAGGGGCACAGCUUCCUGUCUCACAGGAUUAUGGGAGGAAAUGGGCAGGAUGGCCAUGCUUGACCUUUCUGAGAAUAUCUGCUUAUGAUUUGGUGUAGAGAAGAAGCAACAUUUUGGUGAGUUGUUGUUGUUGUCGCCGUCAUCAUUUUUUUUUUUUUGCUUGUUUCUCUUUUCUUUUCUUUUCUUUUCUUUUUUUUUCUUUUCUUUUCUUUUCUUUCCUUUCCUUUCCUUUCCUUAUCUUUUCUUUUCUUUUCUUUUUUUAAAGAAGUUGCUGAGCCCCUUAAUAUGAUAGGUACAGCCUCUUACAAACUCUUUUCUCUAAAUACCAUCUUCUCGUUUGUGAUUCCUCAGCACCUACCUUGCCAGUUUCCAGGACUAACCUGUUCCAUUCUGUUCAUUUAUAACCUCUUUCUUCCUCUCCCCAUAAGAAACCCAUGCUUUGUUUUCCCUGGCAUGUGGUGACAUGUGAUUACACCAAUAAUCCAACUUUCUUCACCCUUUCCUUCCCAGUGUUUAUAAUCAAGAACAACACUUUGUGACUCUCUGGUGAAUGAAUGGAAACGACUCAUCACAACCAGGAGAACCCUUCCCCAUUGAGUAGCAUGACAUUUGACAGGGUUGUGAGAAGGACAGCUACCUCCAGAGGAAAACUGUGCAGAGGUUUCUUCUUCUUCCCUCCUAGACAGUAAGGCCUUAGAAGCUGGUGGGGGCUCUGUCAUGGUGCUCAAUAUGCAAUUUAUAUCUGCCCACAGGAUUGUUUGUUUAGUCUCUUUAAACCAGCUAUUUUCUACUGAGUUCCCCUUUAUGCUGGUUCUCUGGAGCAACAGAGAAUUGACCCUAUAGCAGUGUGACAGAGCCUCUGUAACCUUUGCCUGGUUCCUAACAAUGGGAAGCUCUGAGGGAACAUGAAGAAACCAGGAGGGAAUCUGAAAUACUUCUUCCUUCUUCCCUGCAGCUUUAGAGCCUCAUCUGCAAUAGCUGUGCCCAUCCAGAAUGGCAGGUGGCUUCUCCACAGCGGACUCUCACAUGAGAACGGAUUUCCAAAUUUGCUGUUUUAUAAGUAGAAAUGGCAUCAGCUUCCUGCUACGCCAGCCUUAGGGAACUCACUGCCUGUAUUGAUUCUCCAAUCCUGCUUUGUGAACGAUGCCUUUCUUUUGUUUCUUACAGAUCUACCAUUUACUCUGUCACUUCUACUAAACCCCACAUGUCUCUCCAGGUUAAAUAUGAAUGAGGAAAACACAAAUGAGACCAUGAAGUGGAGGGCAUGUGUGACGAUGAGCAAUGCUUUGGAGAAGUGCCCCCACUUACAACGUGAUGGGGAAAAAAAUACCAAGAAUUUAUUUUUGUGUAUGAUGGGACUGUUGUGGGGAUAGUAGAGAUAAACAGAAAAUAGGUAUAAGAUCAAGAAGAGUAUUGAGGGUGGGGUGGGGUGGGAUGAUGGAUCUACUAAUCUUGCAUCCAAUUUGUGGUGGCCAUACAUAAAAGAUACUCUGUUGUUUGGGAGACAGUGGAGUCAAGAGGGAAGAGAAUGAACUCCUCAGAAAAAGGGGAACGCGCGAAGAUCUGACUUAAACUAUUGCUCAGCCUGACAAGUGACAACUUUGUUGAGUUUUUAAUGACUUCAUAACAGAUAAUUAUAUGAAGAAUACCUUAACAAUUGUUAUGUAAAUAAAACCAUGGGUGUAUGGAUGGAUGGGUAGCAAAGAGAAACACUGACAUAUAAGAAAGAGCCUACCACUGUGAUCCAGUGAGGGGAAAAAGAAGCUACAUAAAAGGUGUCAGCUCUUUUCUGAUGCCCUGUUGAUGAAAACAUGUCAAAUAAGUAAAGAAAUGGAUCCACAUUCAAUAAACCAUUUGUUAUUCUUA